AAUCUUCCGCAAUGGACGAAAGUCUGACGGAGCAACGCCGCGUGAGUGAUGAAGGUUUUCGGAUCGUAAAACUCUGUUGUUAGGGAAGAACAAGUACGAGAGUAACUGCUCGUACCUUGACGGUACCUAACCAGAAAGCCCCGGCUAACUACGUGCCAGCAGCCGCGGUAAUACGUAGGGGGCGAGCGUUGUCCGGAAUUAUUGGGCGUAAAGUGCGCGCAGGCGGUCCUUUAAGUCUGAUGUGAAAGCCCACGGCUUAACCGUGGAGGGUCAUUGGAAACUGGAGGACUUGAGUGCAGAAGAGGAGAGUGGAAUUCCAUGUGGAGCGGUGAAAUGCGUAGAGAUAUGGAGGAACACCAGUGGCGAAGGCGACUCUCUGGUCUGUAACUGACGCUGAGGCGCGAAAGCGUGGGGAGCGAACAG
rnacentral:rRNA from 1 species